GACCGAUAGUGAACCAGUACCGUGAGGGAAAGGCGAAAAGAACCCCGGCGAGGGGAGUGAAAAAGAACCUGAAACCGUGUACGUACAAGCAGUGGGAGCACCCUUUGGGGUGUGACUGCGUACCUUUUGUAUAAUGGGUCAGCGACUUAUAUUCUGUAGCAAGGUUAACCGAAUAGGGGAGCCGGAGGGAAACCGAGUCUUAACCGGGCGUUAAGUUGCAGGGUAUAGACCCGAAACCCGGUGAUCUAGCCAUGGGCAGGUUGAAGGUUGGGUAACACUAACUGGAGGACCGAACCGACUAAUGUUGAAAAAUUAGCGGAUGACCUGUGGCUGGGGGUGAAAGGCCAAUCAAACCGGGAGAUAGCUGGUUCUCCCCGAAAGCUAUUUAGGUAGCGCCUCGUGAAUUCAUCUCCGGGGGUAGAGCACUGUUUCGGCUAGGGGGCCAUCCCGGCUUACCAACCCGAUGCAAACUGCGAAUACCGGAGAAUGUUAUCACGGGAGACACACGGCGGGUGCUAACGUCCGUCGUGAAGAGGGAAACAACCCAGACCGCCAGCUAAGGUCCCAAAGUCAUGGUUAAGUGGGAAACGAUGUGGGAAGGCCCAGACAGCCAGGAUGUUGGCUUAGAAGCAGCCAUCAUUUAAAGAAAGCGUAAUAGCUCACUGGUCGAGUCGGCCUGCGCGGAAGAUGUAACGGGGCUAAACCAUGCACCGAAGCU
rnacentral:rRNA from 1 species